AGCAACGCCGCGUGAGUGAAGAAGGGUUUCGGCUCGUAAAACUCUGUUGUUAAAGAAGAACGUAUCUGAGAGUAACUGUUCAGAUAGUGACGGUAUUUAACCAGAAAGCCACGGCUAACUACGUGCCAGCAGCCGCGGUAAUACGUAGGUGGCAAGCGUUAUCCGGAUUUAUUGGGCGUAAAGGGAGUGCAGGCGGUUAUUUAAGUCUGAUGUGAAAGCCUUCGGCUUAACCGGAGAAGGGCAUCGGAAACUGGAUAACUUGAGUGCAGAAGAGGGUAGUGGAACUCCAUGUGUAGCGGUGGAAUGCGUAGAUAUAUGGAAGAACACCAGUGGCGAAGGCGGCUACCUAGUCUGUAACUGACGCUGAGGCUCGAAAGCAUGGGUAGCAAACAGGAUUAGAUACCCUGGUAGUCCAUGCCGUAAACGAUGAAUACUAGGUGUUAGGGGGUUUCCGCCCCUUAGUGCCGCAGCUAACGCAAUAAGUAUUCCGCCUGGGGAGUACGACCGCAAGGUUGAAACUCAAAGGAAUUGACGGGGACCCGCACAAGCGGUGGAGCAUGUGGUUUAAUUCGAAGCUACGCGAAGAACCUUACCAGGGCUUGACAUCUUCUGCUAAUCCGAGAGAUCGGACGUUCCCUUCGGGGACGGAAAGACAGGUGGUGCAUGGUUGUCGUCAGCUCGUGUCGUGAGAUGUUGGGUUAAGUCCCGCAACGAGCGCAACCCUUAUGAUUAGUUGCCAGCAUUAAGUUGGGCACUCUAAUGAGACUGCCGGUGACAAACCGGAGGAAGGUGGGGACGACGUCAAAUCAUCAUGCCCCUUAUGUCCUGGGCUACACACGUGCUACAAUGGAUGGUACAACGAGCAGCGAAGUCGCGAGGCCAAGCAAAUCUCUUAA
rnacentral:rRNA from 2 species